UGGUCUUUCUGUUUAACUUUUACACACGAUAAGAUGUCUCGGUGUCCCAGAGGUCUUCCAGGUCCAGCUGCAGCGUGAGAAACCCUCCAAUCAGAGCAGUCCAGUACAGACAAAGGUUUCAGUCGACACACGAUAAGAUGUCUGGGUGUCCCAGAGGUCUUCCAGGUCCAGCUGCAGCGUGAGAAACCCUCCAAUCAGUGCAGUCCAGUACGCGAGGCGCAACUCAUCUCAACAAGCCUAUUAUCAGGCAGGUGAUGUCCUGUAGGCCUGUCUGCUCUGACGCAGCCUUGCUGGCUGAAAACCUGUUCUGCAUCUUCUGAUUCUUUCUCCUGCUGUCAGAAAACAAACCGUCGUCUCCACCAGCGUAAAGUCAGACACAACAGGACUCUACUGUUUCCUCUGGAACCUUUCAGAAUAAAAUGUAGUGACCUAA